CGGCAAGCCGCGCUCUGCGCGGCGGCGAACCCGCUGAAGUGAAACAUCUCAGUAAGCGGAGGAAAAGAAAACAAGCCUUGUGCUCCGCACAAGGAUAUUCCCUUAGUAGCGGCGAGCGAAAAGGGAAUAGCCCAAACCUAGCCAUACCUCUUUGCGCUUGGUACGAACUUAAAUGAAAAACUAAAAGCGAAAAGCGUAAAAUAACAACCUAAAACUUAAAACAUUUUGUUUUGAAUUUUGAACUGUUGUUUUGCAUUUUACGUUUUACGCUUUACGUUUAAGUGAAUACCGAGCGUAGCGAGGUGUGGCUGGGGGUUGUAAGUUAAUGGUGUUUUGGAGCUUUUGCUUCAAAAGGAGUCUAUCAAAAUGAAAUUUCGUUAGCUAAACAAGGAUGGAAAGCCUGACCAAAGAAGGUAAUAGUCCUGUAAGCGAAAACGAUUUCAUGCUCCUAACUGUUAUACUUGAGUACUUCAAGGAAUGAAAACCUUGAAGGAAGCAGGCUGAACUAUCAGCCAAGGCUAAAUACUUAAUCUCACCGAUAGUGAACCAGUACCGUGAGGGAAAGGUGAAAAGUAGCCCGGAAGGGCGGUGAAAUAGAACCUGAAACCAUCACGCCUACAAAGAGUCAGAGCUCCGCUUCGGCGGGGUGAUGACGUGCUUUUUGCAGAACGAGCCAACGAGUCUUUAUUUUCAGUUUGUCUAAGCCCUUCUGGGGCGAAGGCAAAGCGAAAGCAAGUGUUAAUAGCGCGACCCCUGAUUUAUCAGGAAGACUGGAAAUAGAGAACCCGAAGCCAAGCGAGCUUGCCAUGGCCAGGGUGAAUCUCGACGAAAGUCGAGAGGAGGCCCGAACCCGUGAGCCGUGCAAUACUCUGGGAUGAGCUGUGGUAAGAAGUGAAAAGCUAAUCGAGCUUGGUAAUAGCUGGUUCUCCCCGAAAUAGCUUUAGGGCUAGCCUUCGCCUAAAUUUUCGCAGGUAGAGCACUGAAUGGAAUUACGUGGGCUUUGCCUAGUCUUUCCAAUCAAACUCCGAAUGGCGAAAAAAUUUUGGCGGGGAGUUAGACUGUGGGGGCUAAGCUCCAUAGUCAAAAGGGAAACAGCCCAGAUCUUUAUCUAAGGUCCCUAAACUACUGCUGAAAGGCAGGUUCCAACUCUUUUAUUAAAAGGGUUGCGAAGAGCUAAGUGUUUUUAAGGAAGUGAAUUUCCAAAGAUAGUUAGGAGGUUAGCUUAGAAGCAGCUAUCCUUUAAAAAGUGCGUAAUAGCUUACUAAUUAAGGAAUUUCGCGCCGAAGAUUACCGGGACUAAGCUUAGUACCGAAGAUAAGGACCCGUGAGAUAUUUUUAUUUCAUGGGUGGUAGGGGAGCGUCUUUAGUGCUGCGAAGUCAAACCGUGAGGUUUGGUGGAGCGCUAAGGAGUGAGAAUGUUGGCAUGAGUAACCGCAAUCCCGGUGAGAGCCCGGGACACCGAAAACCUAAGGUUUCCUUGGCAAUGACAAUCAACCAAGGGUUAGGCGGUCCUUAGUCUUUGACCGAAUGGUCUGGAUGAUGGACAGCCGGUUAAUAUUCCGGCCCCUGAGCGCAUAAUUCUAAGGAGUGACGGAGUUUAGUAAUUUGAGCAGAUUAUUGGAUUUCUGUUGUUAGCUUGAGAUUUUUCAAGGGCUAACAGGAAGUCCUGCUACGGUGGGAUGAACUCAAAUGAGCAAGCUUCCCAGAAAAACUUCUUAGGAGUUAGUUAUGCGUUUAGUCCGUACCGUAAACCGACACAGGUGGGUAGGCGUAAAUGUGCCAAGGUGAACGAGUGAAACCUCGUUAAGGAACUCGGCAAAAAAGUGUCCGUAAGUUCGCAAUAAGGACUGCCUGACCUUGUGCUUUGCACAAGGCUGGGCUGCAACAAAAGUAUCCCAGGCGACUGUUUAUCAAAAACACAGGUCCCUGCUUAACUCGUAAGAGGAUGUAUAGGGGCUGAGGCCUGACCAGUGCUGGAACGUUAAAUUUGGCGGUGUCAAGCGCAUAGUUUAUGUGUUUGGCGCUGACUGAAUGAAGCGCCAGUGAACGUCGGCGGUAACUAUAACCGUCUUAAAGUAGCGUAAUCCCUUGCCGGGUAAGUUCCGGCCCGCAUGAAAGGCUUAACGACUUGGGAACUGUCUCAACGAGGAGCUCGGUGAAAAUGCAAUACCGGUAAAGAUGCCGGUUACCUGCGGCUAGACGAAAAGACCCCGGGAGCUUUACUAUAGCCAGAUAUUGAAUUUUGGCUUUGAAUGUGUAGUGUAGCGGGGAGUUCUGUUCUUUGAGAGCAGGACGCCAAUGAAACACCCGUCUUUCAAGGUCUUUGUUCUAACUUUGCCUUAAUUGGCGAAAAACAGUGUCUGGUAGGUAGUUUAAGUGGGGCACUUGCCUUAAUUUAUGGGGCCUCUAAAGAGUAAUCUUUAGAGCAAACUCGACUAAUAUGCUGGAACAUCCGAGUAUCCAAAGAUACUUAAUUUUGAUAAAAUUAAGUAAUAAUUCUUUGGUGCGGACAAUCAGCAGGGAAACCCGCCAAAGGCGGAUGCCCUCAACGACUGUAUGUCGAGUCCCUUUGAGAUAUAGAAUUAUUUCAAGGGGUAGUGAUACAGUCUGAACUUUAGGGCGACCUAAAGAUUCGGCAAGGUUAGUUUUAGUGCCCGCUAACUAAUCCGAAACUUAAACUCUGAAAUUAUGCGAAGUAAAGAAAUCGAAGAAUAUAAAAGUAAACUCUCUCUAAGUCAAAGACAAAAAGAAAUCUUAAUUGGUUUGAUUUUAGGAGAUGGUCAUUUAGAAAGAUUGUAUACACCGAUACUAGGAAGAUUAAAAGUAGAACACAGCUACAAACAGAAAGAAUAUGUUGACUGGAUUUAUGAGGAAUUUCGGAAUUGGAUAAGGAGUAAACCAAAAUCAAAGAGAAAGAAAGUUUGGAAUA
rnacentral:rRNA from 1 species